rnacentral:rRNA from 1 species
UACGUAGGGGGCAAGCGUUAUCCGGAAUUACUGGGUGUAAAGGGAGAGUAGGCGGCAAGGUAAGCGAUAUGUGAAAGCCUUAGGCUUAACCUGAGGAUUGCAUAACGAACUAUCUAGCUAGAGUACAGGAGAGGAAAGCGGAAUUCCUAGUGUAGCGGUGAAAUGCGUAGAUAUUAGGAAGAACACCAGUGGCGAAGGCGGCUUUCUGGACUGAAACUGACGCUGAGGCUCGAAAGCGUGGGGAGCAAACAGG